rnacentral:tRNA from 1 species
CAGGACGUGGCUAAAUCAGAAAAGCACCUCCCUUACACUGAGAAGACAUCCGUGCAAAUCGGAUCGGCCUGA